GACAGAGGGUGCAAACGUUGUUCGGAAUUACUGGGCGUAAAGCGAGUGUAGGCGGUUCGAUAAGUCGGAUGUGAAAGCCCCGGGCUCAACCCGGGAAGUGCACUCGAUACUGUCGAGCUAGAGUAUCGGAGAGGUUGGUGGAAUUCUCGGUGUAGAGGUGAAAUUCGUAGAUAUCGAGAGGAACACCGGUGGCGAAGGCGGCCAACUGGACGAAUACUGACGCUGAGACUCGAAAGCGUGGGGAUCAAACAGG
rnacentral:rRNA from 1 species